rnacentral:rRNA from 1 species
GGUCCAGACUCCUACGGGAGGCAGCAGUGGGGAAUAUUGCACAAUGGGGGAAACCCUGAUGCAGCGACGCCGCGUGGGUGAAGGAGCACCUCGGUGCGUAAAUCCCUAUCGGCAGGGAAGAAAAGCGAACAGGUUCGCCUGGACGGCACCUGACUAAGAAGCCCCGGCUAACUACGUGCCAGCAGCCGCGGUAAUACGUAGGGGGCAAGCGUUAUCCGGAUUCACUGGGUGUAAAGGGAGCGUAGACGGCGAUGCAAGCCAGAUGUGAAAGCCCGGGGCUCAACCCCGGGACUGCAUUUGGAACUGUGUGGCUGGAGUGUCGGAGAGGCAGGCGGAAUUCCUAGUGUAGCGGUGAAAUGCGUAGAUAUUAGGAGGAACACCAGUGGCGAAGGCGGCUUGCUGGACUGUAACUGACGUUGAGGCUCGAAAGCGUGGGGAGCAAACAGGAUUAGAUACCCCAGUAC